rnacentral:rRNA from 1 species
UACAGAGGGGGGCAAGCGUUGUUCGGAAUUACUGGGCGUAAAGGGCGCGUAGGCGGCCGCCUAAGUCAGACGUGAAAUCCCUCGGCUCAACCGGGGAACUGCGUCUGAUACUGGGUGGCUUGAAUCCGGGAGAGGGAUGCGGAAUUCCAGGUGUAGCGGUGAAAUGCGUAGAUAUCUGGAGGAACACCGGUGGCGAAGGCGGCAUCCUGGACCGGCAUUGACGCUGAGGCGCGAAGGCUAGGGGAGCGAACGGG